CCAGACUCCUACGGGAGGCAGCAGUGGGGAAUAUUGCACAAUGGGGGAAACCCUGGUGCAGCGACGCCGCGUGAGUGAAGAAGUAUUUCGGUAUGUAAAGCUCUAUCAGCAGGGAAGAAAAUGACGGUACCUGACUAAGAAGCCCCGGCUAACUACGUGCCAGCAGCCGCGGUAAUACGUAGGGGGCAAGCGUUAUCCGGAUUUACUGGGUGUAAAGGGAGCGUAGACGGCAUGGCAAGUCAGAUGUGAAAGCCCGGGGCUCAACCCCGGGACUGCAUUUGAAACUGUCAGGCUGGAGUGCAGGAGAGGUAAGUGGAAUUCCUAGUGUAGCGGUGAAAUGCGUAGAUAUUAGGAGGAACACCAGUGGCGAAGGCGGCCUGCUGGACGACAACUGACGGUGAGGCGCGAAAGCGUGGGGAGCAAACAGGAUUAGAUACCCGUGUAA
rnacentral:rRNA from 1 species